UUGAGGUGUCUGUCUGAUUAUUAUUUUUCCUCACGACUGUCAGUGGGGAAUGAUGAUUGUGGGUUGUGUUGUCAUAGUUGUGAAAUAAUUUUUUGAGUCAGCAGAAGAAUGUGUCCGCUUCUCUACAUGUUAGUAUGGUAUCAAGGUUCUGUGGUGGGGCAAGAUCAUUCAGUUUCAGUUAGGGAUAGUCUUGAUAAAUGGAUUAUGUUGGGGUGUUGUGUAGUGUCCAUGUAGGGAGUACUAGUGCUAUGGUUUCUCCCAGAGGUGGCAUUCUGUGGUUGUGGAGUUGUAGCUGGCUCCACUUUUUGUUUUAGUGUUUGAUGGCUGUCAUCAGGGGCAUUUUUUUGUUUGUUUUUUGAUAAUUGUUUUGGGUUUCUUGCUUUAUUUCCAGGUAAGUUUCUUGAUAUAUUUUUUCCUUCUUCCAGUGUGCACAAGCGUGUGAUGAUUUUGUGUUUAGGCAGUCUUUUCUAGAACAUGUGAGGUGCAGUAAGUGGUUCCUCAGUUUUUCUGAAGUCCUUGAGAGCUGUUCAGCAUAUUUGGAGUCUUAUGUAGUGAUUACUCAUCUCACUCAUGCAUUUUAACUUAAUUUUAUUUAAAACUUUUUGUGUGAAAAUUUUAUCUGAUGUAGUAAUUGUCUGUCUAUAAUGUACUUGUCAGAACCAUAAAAAUUCAUUAUUUGUGUUCAUAAUUGGAUUCAUUUCCCUCUUUUCCAUUAGAUAGGAGUGUUUGUGAUAUGCAGAUAGUAAAAUGGUAGGAAAGGGUUGUAGCUCACUAAAGUCACUAAAAUAGAGAGAUUUUAUAAGGCUCAUAGACUCAUGGGCUUUAAGGUAACAAAACACGAUCAUGAUCAUCCAGUCUGUCCUCCUGUUCAAUGAAGGCCACAGAAUCUCAUCUACCCACUCCUGUAAUAGACCCAUGAACUCUGGCUGAGUUACUGAAGUCCUCACUCAUGAUUUAAAGACUUCAAGUUACAGUGAAUCCACCAUUUACAGUAGUUUAAACCUGCAGGUGACCCAUGCCUCAUGCUGCAGAGGAAUGC